CGACUUUUUAACUUAUUAAAUACAAAACAAACACACACCUGAGUUGCACCUACAAUGUUCAAAACUAAUAUAAAGUCCAACAGAUAUGUCCCAAAAAAUGUUUCAGUGAAAGUUAAUUGGCAAUAAUGGCAUGAGAUAGAACACGAUAUCUCUCUGAAGAAUUGCAAUACUGCGAGUACAGACAUUCUGUCUGCAGGACUGAUCAAACACUUGCCGCCCUUCUUAUGAACACACAAAAUUAAAAACAAAAUGCUUAAGCAUUUUAGAAGUUAGGAAACCUUAACUGACAUAGCCUACUCAACAUGAGCUCCACCUUUGAAUUUACUAUAUGAGUAAAUUCUUAAACACUUCUUAAACACGCGGCACAUUUUGAAUUUAUCAAUAGAGUUAAUCAUAAAACCACAAGCAUUAGACAAGAUUUCUUGUUAUAAAUGUAAUGGCACUAACAAGGGCAGAUUUCGUGCUCGACCAAUCAGCGCAUUUGUUUACAUUUUCGCUCUCAGCUAAUCAUAACGCAGGAAACGAGAAAUUUA